UCGGGGAUCGUCUAAUGGUCGGACAUCGGUCUUUGAAUCCGGCAAUGGAGGUUCGAAUCCUUCUCCCCGAA
rnacentral:tRNA from 1 species